rnacentral:rRNA from 1 species
AGAUUGAACGCUGGCGGCAUGCUUUACACAUGCAAGUCGAACGGUAACAGGCCGCAGGGUGCUGACGAGUGGCGAACGGGUGAGUAAUGCAUCGGAACGUGCCCAGUCGUGGGGGAUAACGCAGCGAAAGCUGUGCUAAUACCGCAUACGAUCUAUGGAUGAAAGCGGGGGACCGAAAGGCCUCGCGCGAUUGGAGCGGCCGAUGUCAGAUUAGCUAGUUGGUGGGGUAAAGGCCCACCAAGGCGACGAUCUGUAGCUGGUCUGAGAGGACGACCAGCCACACUGGAACUGAGACACGGUCCAGACUCCUACGGGAGGCAGCAGUGGGGAAUUUUGGACAAUGGGCGCAAGCCUGAUCCAGCAAUGCCGCGUGCAGGAAGAAGGCCUUCGGGUUAG